rnacentral:rRNA from 1 species
GAUGAACGCUGGCGGCGUGCCUAAUACAUGCAAGUCGAGCGAACAGACGAGGAGCUUGCUCCUCUGACGUUAGCGGCGGACGGGUGAGUAACACGUGGAUAACCUACCUAUAAGACUGGGAUAACUUCGGGAAACCGGAGCUAAUACCGGAUAAUAUAUUGAACCGCAUGGUUCAAUAGUGAAAGACGGUUUUGCUGUCACUUAUAGAUGGAUCCGCGCCGCAUUAGCUAGUUGGUAAGGUAACGGCUUACCAAGGCAACGAUGGGUAGCCGACCUGAGAGGGUGAACGGACACAUGGGGACUGAGAGACGGCCCAGACUGCUACGGGAGGCAGGAGUGGGGAAUAGUGCACAAUGGGCGGAAGCCUGAUGCAGAAACGCCGAGUGCGGGAUGACGGCUUGCGGGUUGUAAACCGCUUUCGCCUGUGACGAAGCGUGAGUGACGGUAAUGGGUAAAGAAGCACCGGCUAACUACGUG